rnacentral:lncRNA from 1 species
GAUUCACAGAGACACUGCAGCACUGUGUUGGCUACUUCACCUCUGAAUGAUGACCACUGAAGAACAUGAGAGAUGAAGUACAAUGGAGAAGUCCAGAUAAAUGGACUGGAAUUCCUGCUACCAUUAUAUAUUUUUUUCUUUUUUAUGGAUUUUGGUACACCCUCAUGGCUGUCAAAGGCCAUUGUCUUUGCUCCAGAGGUCCUACAGCCAUGGUGCAGCUUGGAUCCUAGAUGCUAUGCUUGGGGUUAGGCUACUGCUUCCUCCUGAAUUACACUGGCAGACUAAGGUGACUCUUUGUGUUCUCUGCAACCCUUUGACUUUCAUGCGAGUUAUACAAAAUGGAUGUGCCCUUCUGGUUACGUCACAAGUGAUGUCAGAAAUUGCAGUGGUGUUAAGUAUUAGUCUGCCUUGA